rnacentral:rRNA from 1 species
GACGAACGCUGGCGGCGUGCUUAACACAUGCAAGUCGAACGGAAAGGCCCUGCUUUUGUGGGGUGCUCGAGUGGCGAACGGGUGAGUAACACGUGAGUAACCUGCCCUUGACUUUGGGAUAACUUCAGGAAACUGGGGUUAAUACCGGAUAGGAGCUCCUGCUGCAUGGUGGGGGUUGGUAAGUUUCGGCGGUUGGGGAUGGACUCGCGGCUUAUCAGCUUGUUGGUGGGGUAGUGGCUUACCAAGGCUUUGACGGGUAGCCGGCCUGAGAGGGUGACCGGCCACAUUGGGACUGAGAUACGGCCCAGACUCCUACGGGAGGCAGCAGUGGGGAAUAUUGCACAAUGGGCGGAAGCCUGAUGCAGCAACGCCGCGUGCGGGAUGACGGCCUUCGGGUUGUAAACCGCUUUCGCCUGUGACGAAGCGUGAGUGACGGUAAUGGGUAAAGAAGCACCGGCUAACUACGUG